ensembl:lncRNA
GUGACAGCUCAAUCAGCUCUUUACAUCACUAAAACUAAAGCAGAGCUGUGAUUGUAUUAUUGAUUCAAAAGCUAAAUUAGGCAUUAAAAUCUAACAAAUUGGAGUACCAUCUACCUUUAAAGGAAUGGUUCACAAAUAGCCUUGCCUGUAAAUUUUAAAGGACCCACAUUUAAGCUGAUUUUUUUGUAUUUAUUAUGCUAUGACUUAAUGACAAAACAUAAAUAGAACUUCUUUAAUAAAGAAGUACAAGCCAAGCCAGGCGUAGUAGUAUAUGCCUGGAAUUCCAGCUACUUGAGAGGCUGAAGCAGGAAGAUCUCAAAUUCAAGGCCAUCCUGUGAAACUUAGCAAGAUCCUGUCUUGAAAUUUAAAGAUACUAAAGAAGAGCUGGGAAGCUAUCUCACUGGGAGCACCUAGCAAACCUAGCUAGGUUUGAUCCUCAGCACGAUCGGAGGGGUUCAGGAGUCUCCACAGGACGUCAAUGUUUCUAUACCUACAGGUAUGUUGACUUAAAAAGCAAAAAGCUGGCAUGUAGCCCACAUAGCAUUUUAUUCUUUCUUAACUUGGUGACCCCCUCGGGUGAUUAUUGGCCUUUCUUGAAAAUGAUUUGUGAAGAUUCUGCCCUCCUCUCUUCCUAAAAUGGGGUAGGUACAGAUUCUUCCCAAAGUCUUUACUGAAACAUUGCAAAACAUCUUCAUGAUGGAACCUGAUGAGAAUAUGAUCCUUACAGAUUUCUGCACACAAACAAGGAUAGGCAUUAAAGCCAGUAUCUGGAAUCUAGCUUUGCUCUUUAAGGAAUUAUACAGUUUGCAAUUCUUAAAAGGCAAAUAACCUCUAAUCAAGACUCACAACAAAAGAUGAAAACAAAAAGCCUAACAGAACUCUACGAUUCUAGAAGAUAAGAUGAAAAAGGUUUUACCCCAACUCACUUUUUUAUUUUUGUAAGUUUGGCUGUUUUGCCAAAAUAGUAAAAUGUCGCUAAUAAUAUUUAACCCGUGUACUAGCCUGCUUACUUGUUUAUUUAACUCAUAUCUCUGAAUAAGUAACACAUGAAGAGGGAUAAAUCAUUUACUCAAGUAGGCUGGGGUCAGGCAGAACGGGGAAAGGCCAGAAACUUAAACUCCCUAAAUUGCUUGAGGUUAGCUUCCUUGUAAGCCAUUUUCUUUUUUUCUCAAUGCUUCUUAUUUAAAAGACCUGGUGAAGGACUGUCUCAAAGUCUCGUGGUUAAUUCUGGGGGUGAUGUGAGAGUGUUUUACAGAGAAGAGUAACAACAGAAAGAAUUUGCAACGCGAGCACGGUGCUGAUCAGCUAGGAAUCCCAGAAUGAAGAAUAAUGACAGGAACCAGAAAUUGCCUUUUUCGGAGAAAGAAAUGAUUACUUUCAGAUUCCUGGUUCAGCAAGCAUUGAUUGAAACGCUGUAAGUGAAGCAACGGUGCCCGUUACAGGCAGGGAGCAGCACUGUGCAAGUGAGGACGCGGACCUGCGGUGAACCACCGUGCACACUCAGCUGACCGCCCCAGGGCGCCGGGCGACAGGGCCCGGCCCAUGAGUCCGGCCAGAGGCGGGCUCCGCAGAUGUCCGGGCCAGGGGUGCGGUCCAGACCGCGAGCCACGGCUGGGGCCCAGUGUGGCUCGGUGCUGAGGUAGAGAUGCCGUUUUAACAAUUAGCUUC